UAGGGAGCGAGCGUUGUCCGGAUUUACUGGGUGUAAAGGGUGCGUAGGCGGGUUCGCAAGUCAGAAGUGAAAUCUAUGGGCUUAACCCAUAAACUGCUUUUGAAACUGUGAGUCUUGAGUGAAGUAGAGGUAGGCGGAAUUCCCGGUGUAGCGGUGAAAUGCGUAGAGAUCGGGAGGAACACCAGUGGCGAAGGCGGCCUACUGGGCUUUAACUGACGCUGAGGCACGAAAGCAUGGGUAGCAAA
rnacentral:rRNA from 1 species